UACGUAGGGGGCAAGCGUUGUCCGGAAUUAUUGGGCGUAAAGCGCGUGUAGGCGGUCCGCUAAGUCGGCUGUGAAAGUCCAGGGCUCAACCCUGGGGUGCCGGUCGAUACUGGCGGACUAGAGUCCGGAAGAGGCGAGUGGAAUUCCCGGUGUAGCGGUGAAAUGCGCAGAUAUCGGGAGGAACACCAAUGGCGAAGGCAGCUCGCUGGGACGGUACUGACGCUGAGACGCGAAAGCGUGGGGAGCAAACAGG
rnacentral:rRNA from 1 species